rnacentral:rRNA from 1 species
GAUACCCGCUGAACUUAAGCAUAUCAAUAAGCGGAGGAAAAGAAACCAACCGGGAUUGCCUCAGUAACGGCGAGUGAAGCGGCAAGAGCUCAAAUUUGAAAGCUGGCUCCUUCGGGGUCCGCAUUGUAAUUUGCAGAGGAUGCUUCGGGUGCGGCCCCUGUCUAAGUGCCCUGGAACGGGCCGUCAGAGAGGGUGAGAAUCCCGUCUGGGAUGGGGUGUCCGCGCCCGUGUGAAGCUCCUUCGACGAGUCGAGUUGUUUGGGAAUGCAGCUCUAAAUGGGUGGUAAAUUUCAUCUAAAGCUAAAUACUGGCCGGAGACCGAUAGCGCACAAGUAGAGUGAUCGAAAGAUGAAAAGCACUUUGAAAAGAGAGUUAAAAAGCACGUGAAAUUGUUGAAAGGGAAGCGCUUGCGACCAGACUCGCCUCCAGGGUUCAGCCGGCAUUCGUGCCGGUGUACUUCCCUGGGGGCGGGCCAGCGUCGGUUUGGGCGGCCGGUCAAAGGCUCCCGGAAUGUAGUGCCCUUCGGGGCACCUUAUAGCCGGGAGUGCAAUGCGGCCAGCCUGGACCGAGGAACGCGCUUCGGCACGGACGCUGGCAUAAUGGUCGCAAACGACC